AUUGAACGCUGGCGGCAGGCCUAACACAUGCAAGUCGAACGGUAACAGGGAUCAGCUUGCUGAUUCGCUGACGAGUGGCGGACGGGUGAGUAAUGUCUGGGAAACUGCCUGAUGGAGGGGGAUAACUACUGGAAACGGUAGCUAAUACCGCAUAACGUCGCAAGACCAAAGAGGGGGACCUUCGGGCCUCUUGCCAUCGGAUGUGCCCAGAUGGGAUUAGCUAGUAGGUGGGGUAACGGCUCACCUAGGCGACGAUCCGUAGCUGGUCCGAGAGGAUGACCCGCCACACUGGGACUGCGACACGCUCCGGCCGCACACGGGCGGCAGCCGCGCGGAAUUUUGGAAGAUGGGCGUAUGCUUGAUCGAUCAAUGCCGCGUGAAGGAUGAAGGUAUUCUUGUUGUAAGCUGCUUUUGUCCGGACCGACAAGCCCUCUUCUUACACAGGCGGGUCCUGACGCCACCGUAAGAACAAGCCACGGCUAACUACGGG
rnacentral:rRNA from 1 species